CCAAUAGCGUAUAUUAAAGUUGUUGCAGUUAAAAAGCUCGUAGUUGAAUUUUAGGCCUGGCCAGGCGGUCCGUCUUUGGCGAGUACUGUUCUGUGUCGGGUCUUACCUUCUGGUGAACCGUUAUGUCCUUAAUUGAGUGUACCGGGGAGCCAGGACCAUUACCUUGAAAAAAUUAGAGUGUUUAAAGCGGGCUAUUGCUUGAAUAGAUUAGCAUGGAAUAAUAGAAUAGGACGUUGGUUCUAUUUUGUUGGUUUCUAGGACCACCGUAAUGAUUAAUAGGGAUAGUUGGGGGCAUUAGUAUUCAAUUGUCAGAGGUGAAAUUCUUGGAUUUAUUGAAGACUAACUAUUGCGAAAGCAUUUGCCAAGGAUGUUUUCAUUAAUCAAGAACGAAAGUUAGGGGAUCGAAGACGAUCAGAUACCGUCGUAGUCUUAACCAUAAACUAUGCCGACUAGGAAUCGGGCGACGUUAUUUUCAUGACUCGCUCGGCGCCUUAUG
rnacentral:rRNA from 1 species